rnacentral:rRNA from 1 species
AUGACACAGUUUGGCUUAUUUCAAGAGACCCCGCCGAAGUACAAGGACACUUUGCUACAUUUGCAUAGUCUUGACAAGAUGAAGCAGAAGAGUAUAAAAAAAUGGGAUCGAGAGCAUGACAUGUAUAUCCAGGAGUUCAAGCACAAGCUCAAUAAGAUUGAGCUUUCAUUGCGUCAACCGACUUCUAAGCCUCCCCGACGGCCUUUUGAUACGGAAGCAUUCAACAAUUAUCUUGUGUGGUUUCGUUCCAUUGCCCGUACUCAACUUAACGCACCCACAUUUCAGCCAGGGGACAUAUUACAUGAACCCAAUCCAGGUUUUGAUCGGAUGGCCAAUAUGGAGUACAACAGGCUUAUUAGAGAUGGUAGACGGUAUGAAUCGGCGCCAACUAACCGCUUUGUGCAAAACGAGCUCUCGAAGCAUGUCAACGACGCCGAUGAGGCACUCAAGUACCCUCCAGGUGAAGAGUCGUACAAUAAGCUUAAAGCUUUUGUUGAGCGGAGCAAGUCUUGGGCACGUGGCCUUGGUGCUCUACUAGGCUGCUGUUCCACCGAUGUCGCUGUCCCUACAACUUCGAGGUCAAGAUCAUCAUCAAGCGGCACCCAGCAGCAAGGCGAAGAAUCAGUUGAUGACAUGGAGGAGGAGGGGGAUGAACAGACGCAUGAUGAGAUUAACACCUGCAGAUGCCCGAUGCGCCUUAGCCUAGUCAAAGGCGUGGAAAGUAUACUCCGGGCAAAUAAGUAA